rnacentral:rRNA from 1 species
AAAUGAAUAGACGGGGACCCGCACAAGCGGUGGAUGAUGUGGAUUAAUUCGAUGCAACGCGAAAAACCUUACCUACCCUUGACAUAUUCGAAAGGCAUUAGAGAUAGUGCUGUGCUCGCAAGAGAAUCGAAAUACAGGUGCUGCAUGGCUGUCGUCAGCUCGUGUCGUGAGAUGUUGGGUUAAGUCCCGCAACGAGCGCAACCCUUGUCAUUAGUUGCUACAUUUAGUUGAGCACUCUAGUGAGACUGCCGGUGACAAACCGGAGGAAGGUGGGGAUGACGUCAAGUCCUCAUGGCCCUUAUGGGUAGGGCUUCACACGUCAUACAAUGGUCAGGACAGAGGGUUGCCAAGCCGCGAGGUGGAGCUAAUCUCAGAAACCUGAUCGUAGUCCGGAUUGCAGGCUGCAACUCGCCUGCAUGAAGUAGGAAUCGCUAGUAAUCGCGGAUCAGAAUGCCGCGGUGAAUACGUUCCCGGGUCUUGUACACACCGCCCGU